UUUCCGUAGGUGAACCUGCGGAAGGAUCAUUAUCGAGUUAGGGUCUCUGGCCCGACCUCCAACCCUGUGUCUACUAUACCAUGUUGCUUUGGCGGGCCCGCGUUCGUCGCCGCCGAGGGUUUUACCCCCCUGGGCCAGUGCCCGCCGAUAUCCCCCUCUUAAACUCUUUAUCAACCGUGCAUUUCUGAUUAAAAAAAAAAUCAAACACAAAACUUUCAACAACGUAUCUCUUCGUUUUGUCAUCGAUUAAGAACGGCACAGAUUCGCAUAUCACAUCUC
rnacentral:misc_RNA from 1 species